rnacentral:rRNA from 1 species
GAUGAACGCUGGCGGCGUGCCUAACACAUGCAAGUCGAACGGAUAGGCUCUGCGUUUGGGGGGUGCUGGAGUGGCAAACGGGUGAGUAACACGUGAGUAAACUGCCCUAGCAUUUGGGAUAACAUCAGAAAACUGGGGCUAAUACCGGAUAGGAGCUCCUGCUGCAUGGAAGGGGUUGGAAUGUUUGGGCGGUUGGGGAUGGACUCGCGGCUUAUCAGCUUGUUGGUGGGGUAGUGGCUUAACAAGGCUAUGACCGGUAGCCGGCCUGAGCGGGUGACCGGCCACAUUGGGACUGAGAUACGGCCCAGACUCCUACGGGAGGCAGCAGUGCGGAAUAUUGCACAAUGGGCUGAAGCCUGAUGUAGCAACGCCGCGUGCGGUAUGACGGCCUUCGGGUUGUAAACCGCUUUCGCCUGUGACGGAGCGUGAGUGACGGUAAUGGGUAAAGAAGCACCGGCUAACUACGUG